rnacentral:rRNA from 1 species
AUUGAACGCUAGCGGGAUGCCUUACACAUGCAAGUCGAACGGAGUGGCGAACGGGUGAGUAAUGUAUCGGAACGUGCCCAGUAGCGGGGGAUAACUACGCGAAAGCGUAGCUAAUACCGCAUACUAUUGGAGCGGCCGAUAUCGGAUUAGCUAGGUGGUGGGGUAACGGCUUACCAAGGCGACGAUCCGUAGCUGGUGUGAGAGGCCGACCAGCCACACUGGGACUGAGACACGGCCCAGACUCCUACGGGAGGCAGCAGUGGGGAAUUUUGGACAAUGGGGGAAACCCUGAUCCAGCCAUCCCGCGUGUAUGAAGAAGGCCUUCGGGUUGUAAAGUACUGUCAGCGAGGAGGCGUUACUCGCAGAAGAAGCACCGGCUAACUCCGUGCCAGCAGCCGCGGUAAUUC